UGAUAACAAUUAGUGGCAGACGGGUGAGUAAUGCAUAGGAAUCUACCUAGUAGUAUGGGAUAGCCACUAGAAAUGGUGGGUAAUACUGUAUAAUCCCUGCGGGGGAAAGAUUUAUCGCUAUUAGAUGAGCCUAUGUUAGAUUAGCUAGUUGGUAGGGUAAAGGCCUACCAAGGCAAUGAUCUAUAGCUGGUCUGAGAGGAUGAUCAGCCACACUGGAACUGAGAUACGGUCCAGACUCCUACGGGAGGCAGCAGUGGGGAAUAUUGGACAAUGGGCGCAAGCCUGAUCCAGCUAUGCCGCGUGAGUGAGGAAGGCCUUAGGGUUGUAAAACUCUUUCAGUGGGGAAGAUAAUGACGGUACCCACAGAAAAAGUCCCGG
rnacentral:rRNA from 1 species